UCCCUACGGGACGCAGCAGUGGGGAAUACUGGGCAAUGGGCGAAAGCCUGACCCAGCAACGCCGCGUGAAUGAAGAAGGUUUUAGGAUUGUAAAAUUCUUUCCUAAGGGAAGAAAGAAAUGACGGUACCUUAGGAGUAAGCCACGGCUAACUACGUGCCAGCAGCCGCGGUAAUACGUAGGGGGCAAGCGUUGUCCGGAUUUACUGGGCGUAAAGAGAGCGUAGGCGGCACUACAAGUCUCAUGUGAAAAAUACGGGCUUAACUU
rnacentral:rRNA from 1 species